rnacentral:rRNA from 1 species
UGGGGAUAUACUGGAUAUGACGUUAUGCCUGGAAUGGUUUACCGUUGAAAUGUAUUUUUCCCCAAAGGAGAGAUCGGCGGCUGAUAAGGACGUUGGUGGGGUAAGGGUCCACCAACCCUAUGAUCGGAACGGGUGGGAAAACCAAAACCCCGAAAAGGGACCCUGAAACAAGGUUCCAGACCCUACGGGGGGCACCAGGCCCAAAACCUCCCCAUGGGACGAAAUCUGCGACGGGGGGAUCCCCAGUGUCAUUCUUAACAGAAUGGCUUUUCAUUAGUGUAAAAAGCUUUUAGAAUAAGAGCUGGGCAAGACCGGUGCCAGCAGCCGCGGUAAUACGAU